rnacentral:rRNA from 1 species
GACGAACGCUGGCGGCGUGCCUAACACAUGCAAGUCGAACGAAGCUCUUGACUUCAAGUUUUCGGACAAGAAGUUAAGAUGACUUAGUGGCGGACGGGUGAGUAAUACGUGAGCAACCUGCCUUUCAGUGGGGGACAACAGUUGGAAACGACUGCUAAUACCGCAUAAAAUACCGAGGGGGCAUCCCCAUGGUAUCAAAGAUUUAUCGCUGAGAGAUGGGCUCACGUCUGAUUAGUUAGUUGGUGAGGUAAUGGCUUACCAAGACUGCGAUCAGUAGCCGGGUUGAGAGACUGACCGGCCACAUUGGGACUGAGAUACGGCCCAGACUCCUACGGGAGGCAGCAGUGGGGAAUAUUGGGCAAUGGGGGAAACCCUGACCCAGCAACGCCGUGUGAAGGAAGAAGGCUUUCGGGUUGUAAACUUCUUUUUUCAGGGACGAAACAAAUGACGGUACCUGAAGAAUAAGCCACGGCUAACUACGUGCCAGCCGCCGCCGUAAAAC